CCUCUGUUCAAACUUUCCCUUUCUAACGCCGCCGGUGAGAAGCAGAAGGCUCGGAUGAUUCAAAUUUCGAUCAGCACUCCAAGCCCGACGGAUCAGGAGAAGGAUUCAAAUUUCCAUCGGCACUCAAAGCCCGACGACGGAUCAGGAGAUUUCUCUAUACGUGUAAAGCAGGAAAUGAGUUUGCAAAUGAAAGCUGUUUCCUUCACCUGUAAUCAGUUCACUCCGCCUAUUUCGCGCGCGCUCCUUCCGCUUCGACUGAGUAUGGAGCUUCCUCUUCUUCUUCACCUAUUUCGCGCUUGCUACUUCCGCAUCGAGGCUUCCUUCCGCAUUGAGGCUUUUUCUUUACCUAUUUCUUCUGUAAUCGAGCAUCUUCUCCAGUUUCACCGAAGUUCUACCUUGCCUCUCGUUACUUCCCAAAAUGGCCACCACCGCUGCUUCUGCUUGCGCCGUCACAAUGAUUGGGCUGCUUCAUUCAUUUCGGAAAUACCUUCAUAAGCCUCCAGUCACGUUACCCUCUUCUCGGAAAAAUUUGCUUCAGCCUCCAGUCAAGUUACCCUGCUCUCCAUUUCAUCCUUCUAGCAUUUAUUUCAAUUCUCCCACCUCCAAAUAUCCUUUCUUUCCUAUGGCUGUCCGACCCUUGAUCACUAACCGAAACCCCUCUUCCAUUACUAUCCCACCCAAGGCUAAACAUGGAUCAUCCCGCAAGGUGAAUAUCAGAUGCAGAUUCGGUGGUAAGCUCAUUCCACGCCUUAGCGACGGUGCUCUACAUUACGUGGGCGGACGAACGCGUAUAACAGACUUCCGCCGAGAUUUGACACUACAGGAGCUCUACUGCAAAAUGGAAGAAAUCUAUGGCGGACCUGCUAACAUAUGCUACAAGCUUCCUGAUCAAAACCUUGACAAACUCGUCUCCAUCUCAUCUGCAAAAGAUUUGGACAAUAUGUUGAACAAGUAUGACUACCUCAAAAAGACCGCUAAAUGUGGAUAUCCGAGGCUUCAUGUCUUCCUCUUCCCUUUAUCAAAUAGGGAGAAUUCUUUGGAUGACGUCAAUGACGCGGCUUGCAAUAACAAUGGGCUGAGUUGCAUCGAGGAAGUCAAUAGAGCUACUAAGGCUAAUGGAUUCAAAACAUACAAGAAUGACGACCAAAAAGCCGCCACCUCCAUGUUGCGUGUAGAAGACAAAGGUGAUGGAAGUGGGAAUGAAAUUACUUCCGUGCCAGAGCAUCAGAAUUUUUUGGCUCAUUCAAACAUUAAUGACGAAAUAAAUGUGAUCCCUCAAAUAAUCAAUCCAUCAAAUGAUGCGCUUUAUGUUUUACCAACUUAUGAAGAGCCUCGUCAAAUUCAUUACAUUACACCCUCUUCUUUUGCUAUGGCCCAUGAACCUCAACCGCAAAAUCACCAAUUGUUUGGAGAAGUUUUUCGUGAGAUAUCCGAUACAAACUCAAUCUUCCAAAAUCAGGAUCCUUGGAAUGUUCCUGGUCCCUCGAACAUUGAUUCAUAUUUUGGGCAUUUUAGACAUACACGAGAUAUAGGCACUUAUGAAGCAGAUGAAGAUCUUUGUAAUAUUGUUGAAUUAGUUGAAUCAGUGCUUCAGUACCCUUGAGGUUCACUAACAAGCAACUCCCAGAGGUCAUGUUGCUGGAAAACUUACAAGGUUUGCUGGGGUGCUCCUUUUGCCACUUGUUUUAAAACAGAGCUUGCUCAUCUUGAACAAAACCAGCCCUAUGAAGCAUUGUCUUGUUUUGAUGAAGCAUUUGUGGUCCUAGCAUGAUCAGUGCAAUGGAGGAGAUGGCAGGACUCUCUCGCCAUCUUGGUUCUUUAUCUCUUCUCGCAAAGCACCGAAUUAACUGGAUAAGAACUGCUAUUAAACUUAAUAUGGAAGCUCAGAACUAAUCUCAUGCAAGGCAAAUCCUCGACCUCCUCUCGAAGGCUCUACAAAGCAAGCAGAAAUGCAGGAUGAACUGAAGAGCCUGGUUAAAGAGGGCUCUCAAACAAGUCAAUUGAUCUAGAGGAAGAUUCUUCUCAAUUCUGUUAAGGCAAAGUAAUCUUCAUGCUUCCGUUAUAUUAUCUGCUCCACUAUCACUCUUCUUGCACAAAUACGCCUAACUCUUAACAUUCCAAGCAAACAAAGCUAGCUAGAAAACUUCUUCAAGCCACUGUUGGUGGCGACGAGGGAUCAGCCAAUAUGCCACAAAUCCUGGAGGUGAUGUUGGAUAACCCAGGCCCGAACGGUGGAGCUGUGAAGACUAUAGGAAGGAAGCUCUCUUCAAUGUGCACGAAUGCCUUGCAGCAAUUCUGCGUAAACCUUAUGUGUAAGGUGAGGAAAGAAGGAAUAAGCUGUAGCAUUUUAUGAAGUCAGGGAUGAGUUGGAAUAAAGAGGCUGUAGGCAUUGUCGUGCCGACGGUGACAAGAAAGAGGAUGGCAUAAGCUGCUGCUGCUGCUACUGAUUUGGCCAUUGUUGCUGUACUUGUAAGGAUCUUUAUUGGGAUCACUUUCGCGUUGUUUAUUGAAGAGGAGUUGAAAGGCUCCAUUUGGGGGAGAAAUUGUUACGUGCGGAGUCCUCAUGUAAAGUUACGUCCUGACUCCAAUCAAAUGACGACGGGAAUGAGCAGAUCUACCUAAAUCCCGGGAGCAACUGCCAGGGCUUCAUUGCUUACUUAAUUGCCUUUUUGUGAUUAAUCUCAGCCCAUUAUAUUUAACCAAUUGAUCAAUUCUCUACCGUUAGAUAUAGUAUAUCAUGCAUAUAAAACUUUCAGUUAUGUAUUGUUGAAAGGUAUGCAUAGGAUAGAAUUAGAGUUCAGAUUUCAGUUUUGCCUUCUCCCAUUUCUCUGCUACGGUUUGCUGUAAUUCUUCAACUCAUGCAGUGACUUUUAGCUUGAUAAAAUUACUUCAACUCAUUGGUAACAAAGCCAUUAAAAUUA